ensembl:lncRNA
GUGGGGGCGAGUGAAAGUGGUUUUGGGGGCAGUUCGUGCGAGUCGGCCCCCCACGUUGAGAAUGCCCUGAAGUUUGUCUCCUGGUCAAGUUCAAUAGCGACUGUCUGGCUAUGUCUGGAAGCCCAGUGAUUUGCAUUGCUUGAAACUGGGUGUUCGGCUAAGUCCCCUCGGCACCCCCACCUCACCCUCCCGACCGUGGGAGAAAGGGUGCGGGCGUUCGCAUCUUUGCCUCGGAAAGGUUUCUUACAGGAGGUGGAUUUAGGGGGCAACUCGCGUCUAGUUGUGAACGAGCGUUUAGGGAAUCCGAAACUCGGGGAACCCUGGUGAUAGUCUACUCCCCGCCCCCGCACAACAUGCAUAGACACACUGCACAUCACAUGUACACACAAACACACACACGCACACGCCACUCCUCCCGCCCCGAUUUGCUUCCGGGAAAACAAGUCCGAGAGCAGCAGACACUUGCCAAAAGUCACGCAGCGAGGACGAAAGUGUACGGUGGAAAGAAUACCGAAGUCUGGGAUCGUGGGUUCUCUCCUGGCCAACACUGCCGCGGUGUGAAGGGAGCGAAUCAGAGAACUUCCCUGAGUUUCUUCAUCUGCAAGUGGGGCUGGUUGCCGCCAGAAGCCGGCCGGUGGGGGAAGGGUUCGGAACCGGUACGACCGCCUCAGCCGCGCCGGGAGAGGCCGAGAGUCCGCCACGCUCAGCCGUCGCGCGGGGGCGGUACUCCGGGCCCCCCAGGAUGAGCCGAGCCGAGAAACCCAGCACGAGAAAGUCCCCACCCACCUGCACCCUCUUCCGUGGGUCACCCCGCGCGUGGCAGGCCCUUGACAAAUAUCGUCCUGAAUUCUCCCCGCGAUCCUGGGAGUAUCCUCCCCAUUUUAUAGACGAGAGACUGAGGCUUACCAAGUGUAAGGGGCUUGACCGAGGUCCCAUAGGCGAAAAAAGUGGCAAACCAAGAACUUCUAACCGAAUAUAUCUGGCUGCAAAAUCCAGUCUUCUCCCAUCCCGCCGGUCACCAGUGAGACUGUAAAGGUCUUAAAGGAGAAGAAUAAAAAAAAAAAUAACCACACGAAUCAGAUUAACAGAUCGUAAGGAAUUGAAAGGGCCUUCCAGAGCUGCUGGUAUUUCAAACAAGUGGACUCGAACCACAGGAUAAGUAACAAACUACUUUUCCUGGGUGACCAAUCAUACUUUUUUUUUAAUUAAAAAUAUAUUUAUUAAAAUAGAUUACGAUGGAGAAGAAUAUAAUUUUCAAAAUAAUGAUAGCUGAAAACAGAAGACUUAAAAGAAAUGUCAGGCUGUUUCCACCUCGCACACCUUUCGUUCGAUUGCACACACAUUCUUGACAUCAAGUACAUAAACAGGCAAACUGAGGCCCGAAACCAGUCCCACUGAGAGCGAGAGGCCGAGUGGGAGGAGAACCGAGAUUUCCGGGCUCUCGGCCUGGGGUGCUUUCGGCUGGGGGCGGGGGUCCUGUUUGUAAACAGGUGUCCUCGGACAGCCACUGCCGAUUUUUGUCACUCUGCCAACCGGAGGGACGAUUCUGAGUAAUCGCUAGCAGUCAGCGCAGCUGGGGCUAAAAGCGAAAGGGACGCGCGCGCGACGGGCCCGGGAGGGCGACGGGUAAAGCGCGCAGGCGGG